rnacentral:sRNA from 1 species
AGGAUGGCUGGGCAAUAUAUCCAUUAUCUCAAUGACCAGCAGGGUUGAUUCAGCUGGUCUGACCAGUAGGUAGGUGUACCCUUUCUCCU